GACGAACGCUGGCGGCGUGCUUAACACAUGCAAGUCGAACGGUGAAAGAAGAGCUUGCUCUUCUGGAUCAGUGGCGAACGGGUGAGUAACACGUGAGUAACCUGCCCCAGACUCUGGAAUAAGCGCUGGAAACGGCGUCUAAUACCGGAUACGAGACAGGGCUGCAUGGCUACUGUCUGGAAAGUUUUUCGGUCUGGGAUGGACUCGCGGCCUAUCAGCUUGUUGGUGAGGUAACGGCUCACCAAGGCAACGACGGGUAGCCGGCCUGAGAGGGCGACCGGCCACACUGGGACUGAGACACGGCCCAGACUCCUACGGGAGGCAGCAGUGGGGAAUAUUGCACAAUGGGCGAAAGCCUGAUGCAGCGACGCCGCGUGAGGGAUGACGGCCUUCGGGUUGUAAACCUCUUUCAGCAGGGAAGAAGCGAAAGUGACGGUACCUGCAGAAGAAGCACCGGCUAACUACGUG
rnacentral:rRNA from 1 species